UCAGUUUACCCACUGUGCAGUAGGUAGCACUUAGGCUGUUGACUUACUUAGGUGCCUUCUGUUGAAUUAUCAGAAUUGUUAUAAGGUAUCUUCCCUGCCCAGCAAGACAACUCCAGCGGGUCAGAAGCAGUGGUAGGUUGCCCCUGGUCCAGACCGGUUCUUGCGAACCGGUAGUAAAAACCGGGGGAGGCUCCGCCCACCGACCCCGACAUCAUCAGGAAGCUUCUGCACAUGCGCAGAAGCAAGCAAGCAAGCACAGGCGAAGCAACUGCGUGUGCGCGAACCUGCUGCAAACCGGUAGUAAAGUGGUGGGUUUCUACCGGUUCGCUCCGGUUUGGCCGAACCGGUAGUGGCCGCAGUGGGAGGCUCCACCCAACGUCAUCACGGAUGCUCUGCACAUGCGCAGAAGUGCCACAAGUGCGCUCCAAACUGGUUCCAAACCGGUAGUGAAGAUCAAAGGAAAAGACCGAAAGAGUUGUAUUUAGAUUGCCAAGAACACAAGAGUAAGCUGACAUCAUGCAAUUCAAAAGAAUGUAAACUUCGGCAAAAGUUCGGAAGGAAAAAAAUGCAAACCCGAAACACAGCUUCUGCGCAAAAGGGAAUCACAGUCGCAUUGCAGAGAUAUAAUCACAUCGCGCAGGCUUAAGUUAGAUAUAAUGAAGCAUUGUUGAGAAAUUAACAAAUGAAGAAAGGAUGUUGCGUGUUUUCACAGUUCACCGAAAUAUGACAAGGCUGUGAAGGAUGUUCUCUGUUCUCUGUCAUUUUUAAAUAGCUAAAAAAAAUAUAUCUGUUUCAAACCGUUGUGACCUCAAACUUCAUUUGGGGAACUCUUUAGAAAUGUGAACCGCAUACAUUGAUCUAUAUAUUAAGAUUAUUUCCUUUGCUUUUUAAACAUAUCACAUUGCAUGAGUCUCUCUCAAGGGUCAGUUUGAUGUUGAGCAGGUAAAGCUACAAACGGCCACGAGACCUUCUGAGUCUUAAUAUUAACAAUUAACGCAUGGAAGGAGAACCAAGGCAGGUGAAAUCUUGACCCCCAUCGCUCAAGAUGGUUUCACCUUUCGAAUAAAAAGUUGUUUCCAAUGAAACUGUGGCAGAAAAGAACUCCCUGGAAGUAGCGUCGGAAAACUUAGAAUAAAGAGAGACGUUU